CAGGCAUGAAAAUACAUGGGGUGUGGGAUAAUGGAGAGGGAGAUGAGGCUGGAAAGAUGUUAUGUUGAGAUAUGGGCUGGAUAACACAUGCGAAGGGCCCAGGGUACAAAAUGUAAGGAAACACUCAUUUUCAGGAUUGAGCAAGUGUAGGGUUGGUGCAGAGGCUGUGGCUUUUAAGCAGAGGACUGAUUUAAAAAUUUCCCAUAUAGGGGACUUCCACUUAUGGGAAGAGAUACUUUUUCUUAUUCUUCCUAAGUACAACUAAAAUCCAUGGACAUUAUAUAUAAAACAAACAUAAGACUUGAAUAGGUGGAGAGAAGAAGGAAGGCUAGCUAGGGACCUUGGGAUCAAAGUAAUAGCAUGGUAGUGAGUUCCCUAAGUUUUGCUUUUUGUCUCGGAUUCCUAAACUUGGAGCUGAAGAAGUGAGCAACUUGGAAACACCAAUGGGUUCAGACAAAAGAGCCCCACCAAGAAACUGGUUUUUCUGGCCAAAAGACCAGGAAAUGGGCAACUCAACAAGACAGAAAACUUUUAGACAAUAGCUUCUGCAUUCUAGGCAAACACCAUAGAAAAAGCUAUGGCCCUAUCCCAACUCCACCAGCGAAGACUGAGUAGAGAGCCUAGAUGUCUACUGUUACCAAGCUGUAAAGAAGUGUCCCAAAGCACCCCUCCACCAGGGUGGUGUCAGAGAAGGCUGAAUAAAGAGCAGAGACUCACCUCUGACCCCUGUGGUAUCAGUGGAGACCCCUUGGGGAGUCUGGAUUUCUUCUCUGACUCAAUAGAUAAUGGGGCAACUUUCCACUUAACUUCUGGGGUGGCAUCAGAGGAGGCCUGGUGAAAUUUCAUGACUUUUAUUAUCUCGCAGUGGUAAUAAGGCCACCUCCACUGCAGUGUCAGUGGAGACUAAAACAGAAAGGAAUUUUCCUGUUGUCUUCAUUAUAAGAACCUGGUGAGUUCCUGGAGAUAUGACUCAUGAAUGUGUGCCCCCACCCAACAAAACAAAACAAAACAAAAUUGGGCCCUCAGGAGUUUUUAAAUAUUCCGCUAGUCCCUAUUCAUCAUCCAGGAAGACAUCAGUUACCAUGUAAGUGUUCUUACCAGUUGCUGGCUCUGGCAAUGGCUUCUGCUCCUAAGCUGGGAUUCUCUGUAUUCACCUCUCUCUUUAGUUUUGGGGGUGGCUGUUUGCCCUGUGACUUCAAUUUUCUGGUUGACUUAAGAGUUGUUGAUUCAGCUUUUAUUCAGCCACUUUAUUCAGCUUUUUACUUGUUGUGAGGAUGGGAAUGAUGACUCCCAAGCCCUUCACAUGUUUGUGCAGAAACCAGAAGUCCUGUGUUCACUUUUACCCAUUUUUUUUUCUUUCUGUAUUGCAGUUUGGAUAAUCUCAACUAUCUUCAAGUUCACUGAUUCUUCUGUCAAUCCCAAUCUGCUAUGAAAGCCCUUCUAGUGAAUUUUUCAUUUCAGUUAUUGUAGUUUCC
rnacentral:lncRNA from 1 species